UCAGUCGACUCCUACGGGAGGCAGCAGUGGGGAAUCUUGGACAAUGGGCGCAAGCCUGAUCCAGCCAUGCCGCGUGAGUGAUGAAGGCCCUAGGGUCGUAAAGCUCUUUCGCCAGGGAUGAUAAUGACAGUACCUGGUAAAGAAACCCCGGCUAACUCCGUGCCAGCAGCCGCGGUAAUACGGAGGGGUUAGCGUUGUUCGGAAUUACUGGGCGUAAAGCGCGCGUAGGCGGAUUAGUCAGUUAGAGGUGAAAUCCCACGGGCUCAACCCUGGAACUGCCUUUAAUACUGCUAGUCUUGAGUUCGAGAGAGGUGAGUGGAAUUCCGAGUGUAGAGGUGAAAUUCGUAGAUAUUCGGAGGAACACCAGUGGCGAAGGCGGCUCACUGGCUCGAUACUGACGCUGAGGUGCGAAAGUGUGGGGAGCAAACAGGAUUAGAUACCCUGGUAG
rnacentral:rRNA from 1 species